CACUUAUAUAAUUUUGAUUGUUGCUCAGAAAGCCCUUAUUGUUUACCAGUUGGCUUUGAGCUAAUGGAACCAGAGAAGUG
rnacentral:pre_miRNA from 1 species